UACGUAGGGUGCAAGCGUUGUCCGGAUUUAUUGGGCGUAAAGAGCGUGUAGGCGGUUCGGUAAGUCUGUCGUGAAAUCCUGAGGCUCAACCUCGGGCGUGCGAUGGAUACUGCCGGGCUAGAGGGUGGUAGAGGCGAGUGGAAUUCCCGGUGUAGCGGUGAAAUGCGCAGAUAUCGGGAGGAACACCAGUAGCGAAGGCGGCUCGCUGGGCCACACCAGACGCUGAGACGCGAAAGCUAGGGGAGCGAACAGG
rnacentral:rRNA from 1 species